rnacentral:ncRNA from 1 species
UAAAGUUUUGAUCCUACACUUGCUGCUAUUUUUAAUCAAAAUUACACAUGCAAGCAUCCCCUCACCAGUGAAAAUACCCACAUAACAAGAUAGGAGUUGGUAUCAGGCACGAACUUCAGCCCAAGACACCUUGCCUCGCCACACCCACACGGGACAUCAGCAGUGAUAAACAUUAAGCAAUGAGCAAGCCACACAUAAAGCUCGACUUAGUUAUGAUUAUUAGGGCCGGUCAACCUCGUGCCAGCCACCGCGGUUAUACGAGGGGCCCAAAACAACAGCAUCCGGCGUAAAUCGUGACUAGAACACAAUGCCCCACUAGAGGAAUAAACCACAAUCUAACCGUAAAACCCAGACCAAAUGAAACCUUCCCCCUCUAAAAUAAGCACCUUUGACCCCACGAAAACUAAGAAACAAACUAGGAUUAGAUACCCUACUAUGCUUAGUUAUAAACACGAAGCUACCUAAACAACAGCCUCCGCCAGAGAAUUACGAGCGAAAAGCUUAAAACUCAAAGGACUUGGCGGUGCUCCAUAUCGUCUUAGAGGAGCCUGUCCUAUAACCGAUACUCCACGUUAAACCUCACCAUCUUUUGCCUUCAGCCUAUAUACCGCCGUCGUAAACUCACCCCACAAGAGCCCAACAGUAAGUACAAAUGGCCCCCCAAAAACGUCAGGUCAAGGUGUAGCUAAUAAGAUGGGAGAGAUGGGCUACAUUUUUUAAACUAAAACACCACGGCACGGAAUUAUGAAACAAACCCUAAAGGCGGAUUUAACAGUAAGCAGGGUAAGAAAACCCCCCUUAAACUCGCUCUGGAGCACGCACACACCGCCCGUCACCCUCCUCAAUACUCAACAAAAACUAUAUAAUAAACCUUCUAUCAAACAAGAUGAGGCAAGUCGUAACAUGGUAAGUGUACUGGAAAGUGCACUUGGCUUA